UACAGAGGGUGCGAGCGUUAAUCGGAAUUACUGGGCGUAAAGCGUGCGUAGACGGCUAUCUAAGUCGGGUGUGAAAGCCCCGGGCUCAACCUGGGAAUUGCAUUCGAGACUGAAUAGCUAGGGUACGGUAGAGGGAAGCGGAAUUUCCGGUGUAGCGGUGAAAUGCGUAGAUAUCGGAAGGAACAUCAGUGGCGAAGGCGGCCUGCUGGGCUGUUGCUGACGCUGAGGCGCGACAGCGUGGGGAGCAACAGG
rnacentral:rRNA from 1 species